rnacentral:misc_RNA from 1 species
GGAAACUGCUGUAAUGCCAAUUGGUAUGGAGAAUAUCAAAAUAGGUAACGCACAGUAUAUUCAUAUAAAAUUGAAAGCAGGGAACAACUUUCUUAUUUGUUCAGGUUUUCCAAAACAAAUUCUUGAACAUUAUUUGCAUGCUUUGUAGGGGAAAAAAAGCAUGUUAAUAUUAGAAGGGUUGAAAUUUAAACAGCAUGUUCCAGGUGCUACGUAGGCAGAUUAUCUACAUGUUUUUUAAUGUAAGAAAUCUUUAAAAUCUAAUAGGAGCAUAAUCCCAUUGCCCCUAAUUGUUUGCAAAUAAUAUAGCGUCUAUCUAACAUAAAAGUUCACUAAGUACAUGAAAAAAGAAACAGAAUUAAAAAGACAGAGAAAUAAGGAAUGAGAAACAAGGACAGUUUAGAAAUAUUCAUUACUUUGCAAGUUCUCUCUGUUACAUUCAUUCAAUUUAGACCACUAUAUGUUAUUAAACAAAAAUGGAAGAAAUAGAAAACAACAGUUUAUCCUGCUUCUUACAAGGAGGCAUGCCAUUAUAGCAACUAUUUAUCAGAUUCUACAGCUACAAAACAAAAUGAAUUUAAAACACAAAAUGUUCAAAUAUUCCUACUAUCGAGAAGGAAUACUAUUAUCAGCAGAAACUAGAUUUCUGA